rnacentral:rRNA from 1 species
UACGGGGGGUGCGAGCGUUGUCCGGAUUCACUGGGCGUAAAGGGCGCGUAGGCGGCUGGCUCAGUCGGGCCUGUAAGUGCGGGGCUCAACCCCCGUGAUGGGCUCGGGACGGGCUGGCUGGGGCGCGGUCGAGGGAGACGGAAUGCCGGGUGUAGUGGUGAAAUGCGCAGAUAUCGGGAGGAACACCUAUGGCGAAGGCAGCUCGCUGGGACGUUACUGAGCUGAGACGCGAAAGCGUGGGGAGCAAACAGG